rnacentral:rRNA from 1 species
GACGUAGGGCGCAAGCGUUGUCCGGAUUUAUUGGGCGUAAAGAGCUCGUAGGCGGCUUGUUGCGUCGACCGUGAAAACCCGUGGCUCAACUGCGGGCUUGCGGUCGAUACGGGCGGGCUAGAGUUCGGUAGGGGAGACUGGAAUUCCUGGUGUAGCGGUGAAAUGCGCAGAUAUCAGGAGGAACACCGGUGGCGAAGGCGGGUCUCUGGGCCGAUACUGACGCUGAGGAGCGGAAAGCGUGGGGAGCGAACAGG